GACGAACGCUGGCGGCGUGCUUAACACAUGCAAGUCGAACGGAAGGGCCCUGCUUUUGUGGGGUGCUCGAGUGGCGAACGGGUGAGUAACACGUGAGUAACCUGCCCUUGACUUUGGGAUAACUUCAGGAAACUGGUGCUAAUACCGGAUAGGAGCUCCUGCUGCAUGGUGGGGGUUGGAAAGUUUCGGCGGUUGGGGAUGGACUCGCGGCUUAUCAGCUUGUUGGUGGGGUAGUGGCUUACCAAGGCUUUGACGGGUAGCCGGCCUGAGAGGGUGACCGGCCACAUUGGGACUGAGAUACGGCCCAGACUCCUACGGGAGGCAGCAGUGGGGAAUAUUGCACAAUGGGCGGAAGCCUGAUGCAGCAACGCCGCGUGCGGGAUGACGGCCUUCGGGUUGUAAACCGCUUUCGCCUGUGACGAAGCGUGAGUGACGGUAAUGGGUAAAGAAGCACCGGCUAACUACGUG
rnacentral:rRNA from 1 species